AGUGAACGCUGGCGGCGUGCUUAACACAUGCAAGUCGAACGAGAACGGAUUAUAGCUUGCUAUAAUUGUCAGCUAAGUGGCGCACGGGUGAGUAAUAUAUAGAUAACCUGCCCUCUAGAAAGGAAUAACAGUUGGAAACGACUGCUAAUGCCCUAUAUGCCUUUAAUACAUAAGUAUGCAAGGGAAACGCUUUAGUGCUAGAGGAUGGGUCUGUAUGGUAUCAGCUUGUUGGUGAGGUAAUGGCUCACCAAGGCUAUGACGCCUAACUGGUUUGAGAGGAUGAUCAGUCACACUGGAACUGAGACUCGGUCCAGACUCCUACGGGAGGCAGCAGUGGGGAAUAUUGCACAAUGGACGAAAGUCUGAUGCAGCAACGCCGCGUGGAGGAUGACACAUUUCGGUGCGUAAACUCCUUUUAUAUAGGAAGAUAAUGACGGUACUAUAUGAAUAAGCACCGGCUAACUCCGUGCCAGCAGCCGCGGUAAGAC
rnacentral:rRNA from 1 species